UUUUUAAUCUUACAUAUCUCAUAUUAAAAAUCUUUAAACACUUAUUUUUCUUUAUUAUAAGAUUUAGUACCUUGUGAAUCCUUUGAUUUUCCAAUUUCUAGCCUUUAUUUUCAAAAACAAAGAUAUUAAGGCAAAAAAUGGCAUUUGGUAACUCAUUUUCUAUUUUUAGUUUCUUCAAAAUCCUUGCUUAAUUUUUAAAUAUUGUGAAAAAAAUUAAUUUUAAAGUAUUUGAGAACCAAAACUAUCCAUGGUAGACCAUCACCUUCACCCUUGUUAGUGCCACCUCCACUAUCUAUCAGCCAUCAUCAGUUGACGCCACCACCAUC
rnacentral:lncRNA from 1 species